AGUGAACGCUGGCGGUAGGCCUAACACAUGCAAGUCGAACGGCAGCACAGUAAGAGCUUGCGCUUACGGGUGGCGAGUGGCGGACGGGUGAGGAAUACAUCGGAAUCUACUUUUUCGUGGGGGAUAACGUAGGGAAACUUACGCUAAUACCGCAUACGACCUACGGGUGAAAGCAGGGGAUCUUCGGGCCUUGCGCGGAUGAAUGAGCCGAUGACGGAUUAGCUAGUUGGCGGGGUAACGGCCCACCAAGGCGCCGGUCCGUAGCUGGUCUGAGUGGAUGGUCCGGCCCACUGGAGCUGAGACACGGUCCAGGGUCCGACGGGAGGCCGAAGUGGGGACUGUUGGCAAAAGGGGGGAAGCCUGAUCCAGCCACGCCGCGUGGGUGAAGAAGGCCUUCGGGUGGUAAAGCCCUUUUGUGGGGAAAGAAAAGCAGCAGGUGAAUACACCGCUGUUCUGCGGGUACGGAAAGAAUAAGCACCGCCUACCUUCUG
rnacentral:rRNA from 1 species